UACGGUAGGGUGCAAGCGUUAAUCGGAAUUACUGGGCGUAAAGCGUGCGCAGGCGGUAAUGUAAGACAGUUGUGAAAUCCCCGGGCUCAACCUGGGAACUGCAUCUGUGACUGCAUUGCUGGAGUACGGCAGAGGGGGAUGGAAUUCCGCGUGUAGCAGUGAAAUGCGUAGAUAUGCGGAGGAACACGAUGGCGAAGGCAAUCCCUGGGCUGUACUGACGCUCAUGCACGAAAGCGUGGGGAGCAAACAGG
rnacentral:rRNA from 1 species